UAUAGGUGUAGGUUACGGCCUGGUGGAGGCUAUGACCUGAUAUAGGUGUAGGUUACGGCCUGGUGGAGGCUAUGAACUGAUAUAGGUGUGUAGGUUACGGCCUGGUGAAGGCUAUGACCUGAUAUAGGUGUAGGUUAUGACCUGAUGGAGGUCUAAAUUCUCACAGUAGAUCUUAUUUCACUUCACAGUUGUGACGUUAUAAAUUUGUGUGAUCAUUUGCUCCAAAUUAACAACACCUGCUGGUUCCAACAUUCCGAGUGUGAACAGGAACAAAGUUAAGAAAUGAGACAAGAUAUUUAUU